GUGCCAGCCGCCGCGGUAAUACGGAGGGUGCAAGCGUUAUCCGGAUUCACUGGGUUUAAAGGGUGCGUAGGCGGACAGGUAAGUCAGUGGUGAAAUCUCCGAGCUUAACUCGGAAACUGCCUUUGAUACUCUCUGUCUUGAAUAUGGUGGAGGUAAGCGGAAUAUGUCAUGUAGCGGUGAAAUGCUUAGAGAUGACAUAGAACACCUAUUGCGAAGGCAGCUUACUACGCCUAUAUUGACGCUGAGGCACGAAAGCGUGGGGAUCAAACAGGAUUAGAUACCCUUGUAGUCC
rnacentral:rRNA from 1 species